AGUUAGUGAAGAUUCGGAUUGAAGAAUGAAUGUGUUAUUUUGGGAUUUUACUUAUUGUUAUCGUCGGGUCGCCGAUUCAUUUGGGGGGAAUAGAAUGUAGCCAGGCAAGCACCUACCAGUAGGGGUGUGGUUGGCUAAUUAUCCCAAGACUUUUUAAGCAGGCACUGGGCAAGAGGCCUUGAAAUGUGGGCCCUGUUUUGAAAGCACAUGGGCUAUAGUGCUGCUUUGUUUGGUUUUGUUUGAAGUCGCCCUAGAGGAGCUGCUGGUGUAGAUCUGGAAAAAUGCUUGAACAUCAACUGAUUGUUAUAUCUGCUAUAUGCCAAUGAAGGUAAAUUAUUUAAUAUUUUAAUUAAAUAAGUGUGUGCAGUUGGUAACCAUGGUUUUAAAUGUUUUGUGUUUUAAAGCAAUUGAUGUAUUGUUAAUUUUUGUUUUUCUGUUUUAGAUUUAUCAAUUGCUGUUUCUCCUGUGUUGUUUUUGUUUGGUCCCCUGGUUGGCCGGUCUCAGGAGUGUGCUGCAUGGUGGCAGCACGUGUAUCGUGUAAAUUGUUUGUGUACGAGUCCGGUUGGCCAGGGCUUUGUUUUUUUGUAUUCUUUUAUUUUUAUUGAUGAUACCUUCCCAGCCUUAUGCUGCCAGCUUAACUCAUGGUGCUUGUAUUUUGUGUGCAUGUGUGCAUGCCUUUGUGUAUGGGAUUUAAGUUUGCUGUGUUUUCUUUUGUGGUUAUUGCCUUUUGAGUGUUUAAUGUAAGAGGGAUGUCCCCCUAUGCCUAAAGGUUUGCCGCACGCAACGAAAGCAGUCAUCAUAGCGAGAGAGUUGAGCUGGCUGUUAACCUCUUUGAGAGCUGGGACCAAUUCUGGAUAAGCUACUGGUUUCUUUCUCCUUCGAGUUCAUUUCGAAGGGGUGGCGUAGUUGCUACACAGCAUUACCAUGCCCCUAUGCACAAAGUGAGCUUCAUGAAGAUAUAGUUUACAUGGGUUGGAGUGGAAGAUCAGUGGAAGUGGCCUGCUCUAGAGCUCUGACCCCAAACAUUUUGAACACCUCUGGGAUUUUUUGGAAUGCUGACUGCACCCCAGGCCUCCUAACUGUACAUCAGUACAUAACUUGUACUUAAAUUGUACUCUAAUCUAGUGGAACAUCUUCCCAGAAGAUUGGAGUGUAACCAGAAUC